rnacentral:tRNA from 1 species
GGGGAUUUAGCUCAGUGAUAGAGCGCUUGCCUAGCAAGCGCAAAGCCCUGGGUUCAGUCCCCAGCUCCCCCC